AGCGGACAAACCGCUGACUGUAGAGGACAUCGUGCCCAUAGCCAUGGGGCAUGAGCGCGAGGAGCUGGAGGCAGAGCUCUAGAGGAAAAAGCGCUUUGACAUGGAUCCUCCCGUCGCCCUCUUUGGUACCAAGCGGCAGGUCGAUUCGCUCAGUGGUGUCCUUCGUCGGCUCGGCUGCGGCGGUGCGUGUGGCUUUGGGUGGCGUGGAG